CGGACGAACGCUGGCGGCGUGCUUAACACAUGCAAGUCGAGCGGGGCGGAGGCGAGAGGUAACUUGAGCUUUCGUUCAGCGGCGGACGGGUGAGUAACACGUGGGCAACCUGCCCUUAACCGGGGGAUAACAUUGUGAAAACAGUGCUAAUACCGCAUAACAGAGUAUCGGGCAUCCGAUAUUUUUAAAAGGAGCAAUCCGGUUUAGGAUGGGCCCGCGUCCAAUUAGCUAGUUGGCGGGGUAACGGCCCACCAAGGCGACGAUGGGUAGCCGGGCUGAGAGGUUGUUCGGCCACACUGGGACUGAGACACUGCCCAGACUCCUUCGGGAGGCUGCAGUCGAGGAUUUUUUGCAAUGCGCGCAAGCGUGACAGAGCGACGCCGCGUGGACGAUGAAGGCCUUCGGGUUGUAAAGUCCAAUCUCGGGGAAAGAAGAGCCGGAGGUUAACAGCCUGCCGGCUUGACGUUACUCCGGUUGAAGCGCCGGCUAAACUCGUG
rnacentral:rRNA from 1 species